rnacentral:rRNA from 1 species
UGGGGAAUAUUGCACAAUGGGCGAAAGCCUGAUGCAGCGACGCCGCGUGAGGGAUGACGGCCUUCGGGUUGUAAACCUCUUUCAGCAGGGAAGAAGCGAAAGUGACGGUACCUGCAGAAGAAGCGCCGGCUAACUACGUGCCAGCAGCCGCGGUAAUACGUAGGGCGCAAGCGUUGUCCGGAAUUAUUGGGCGUAAAGAGCUCGUAGGCGGUUAGUCGCGUCUGCUGUGAAAACUCGAGGCUCAACCUCGGGCUUGCAGUGGGUACGGGCUGACUAGAGUGCGGUAGGGGUGACUGGAAUUCCUGGUGUAGCGGUGGAAUGCGCAGAUAUCAGGAGGAACACCGAUGGCGAAGGCAGGUCACUGGGCCGCAACUGACGCUGAGGAGCGAAAGCAUGGGGAGCGAACAGGAUUAGAUACCCUGGUAGUCCAUGCCGUAAACGUUGGGCACUAGGUGUGGGGUCCAUUCCACGGAUUCCGUGCCGCAGCAAACGCAUUAAGUGCCCCGCCUGGGGAGUACGGCCGCAAGGCUAAAACUUAAAGGAAUUGAC